AGCAAUAGUGUGCUUUUUCCUUUUUCUUUUUAUUUUAAAGUGACUGAUGUUUGAAUUUGUGUAGAAAAUUAUGUGUUGGUCCAAAAACAGUGAAAAUAUUUGGGUAUGUUCUAUGCAGUGAGUAGAACAUAGGAAAAAUGUUAGGUUACAUUUUCUGGUAAUUUACAUAUAUAUAUAUAUAUAAUUUGUAUCCUUUAUUUAGUGAAUAAAGCUUCCAUGAAUUUUAGUAAUUUAUUAGUAUGUCCAAAAAUCACCAAAAUUAGUGGGAUGUCAUUGAAUACUAUUCCCUAGCUUGACACAA
rnacentral:lncRNA from 1 species